AGAUUUUGACGACAUUGCAACGUGAAUUUGGAAUAGCUAAAGGAGCGAAAAGAGGUCAGCAGACAGGUGGUCUUGAUCCUCAGCAGCCUUACCAGCAGUGUUGAUAGCGCUCCAGUUGUUCCGGAGCCUCACUUUCUUUUGGUACUAUUUUGUGUAUGUAUUUUGGGCACGACUGUACUCGGCCCCUUUCUAUGUAUAAGUGUACUAUGUCUAGAGGCUCGUAGACAGAUGUGUACAGUUAGUCAGGUACAGCCAGAUAUGUACUGUUCGAGUAUGGUAAUGUUGUUGUAGAAAAUGAUAACGAAGUUUACUAGUCUGUGUUCAUACUGACGUCGCUAAUGUAGAUGUUC